rnacentral:rRNA from 1 species
AGGACGAACGCUGGCGGCGUGCUUAACACAUGCAAGUCGAGCGGAAAGGCCCUUCGGGGUACUCGAGCGGCGAACGGGUGAGUAACACGUGAGCAAUCUGCCUUUAGCUCUGGGAUAGCUCCGGGAAACCGGGAUUAAUACCGGAUAAGACCACUUUAGACAUCUGUUGUGGUGGAAAGAAUUUCGGCUAGAGAUGAGCUCGCGGCCUAUCAGCCUGUUGGUGGGGUAACGGCCCACCAAGGCGACGACGGGUA